rnacentral:rRNA from 1 species
GAUGAACGCUAGCUACAGGCUUAACACAUGCAAGUCGAGGGGAAACGACAUCGAAAGCUUGCUUUUGAUGGGCGUCGACCGGCGCACGGGUGAGUAACGCGUAUCCAACCUGCCCACCACUUGGGGAUAACCUUGCGAAAGUAAGACUAAUACCCAAUGAUAUCCCACGAAGGCAUCCGAAUGGGAUUAAAGAUUUAUCGGUGAUGGAUGGGGAUGCGUCUGAUUAGCUUGUUGGCGGGGUAACGGCCCACCAAGGCAACGAUCAGUAGGGGUUCUGAGAGGAAGGUCCCCCCACAUUGGAACUGAGACACGGUCCAAACUCCUACGGGAGGCAGCAGUGAGGAAUAUUGGUCAAUGGGCGAGAGCCUGAACCAGCCAAGUAGCGUGCAGGAUGACGGCCCUAUGGGUUGUAAACUGCUUUUAUAAGGGAAUAAAGUGGGUCACGUGUGACUUUUUGCAUGUACCUUAUGAAUAAGGACCGGCUAAUUCCGUG